AACGGCCAUACCAUGCUGAAUAUAUCGGUUUUCGGUUAGAUCACAGAAGUCAAGCAUCAUAGAGCGCGGUCAGUACUUGGGUGGGUGACCACCUGGGAACACCGCGUGCCGU
rnacentral:rRNA from 1 species